rnacentral:sRNA from 1 species
CUCGUUUAUCCUGUGCUAGCGGUAUGUGAAAUAAAAAAAAGCUAUUACCGCCCUGUUGUUUUCUGUUUAAAGUUUGAUAUAACUCCUAAAAAGCCCCAACGUAUUACAAUUGACUUGGCGCCAUGCGGCCUUACCAGACUUGCUGUACAAUAUGUUUAGGUUUAAUUACUAUCAGCAUCUUCUUCAAUAUUGAAUGUUUGCAAACUAGAAUUCCUGGCCCUAAUGUAUGCAGAUCAAGAACAAGGUGUUGUCGUGGAUGGAGACUCUCCUCUAGUGGAAGAUGCAUUGUGCGUAA